rnacentral:lncRNA from 12 species
ACAAAUAGGCCACUGGAAUCUUUCUUUCCUCGUGUUGAUACAAAUCUUUUUCGGGAGUCUGCAAAAUUCCUUGACAGUCAUUUCUAGAGCUAGAAAGUAUCAGGCAACACCUUUUAUUGUGUUAUGUUAAAGAUAGUGUGAUUUGUUCCCAAAGUAGGUCAAUCAGCUUGCGGGGAUACUGAUGAUCUUACUCGCCUGUUUCCCAGAUGCUCUGAGCGCAAUGAUUCCAUAGGGUGGGAAUCCAAGACCCACUUACUUGCUCAAUUAAACUACGCCUUGUUCUAAAUGAGCUCAAUCAGAAAUUGGUCAUGUCACAGCACCCAACUUCUGAUUUUCAUUUUCCCUCUUUAACACAACAAUGGCAUUUCCUAAUACUCUGAAGCAGUGGCUGUGUCACGUCGGUAAGAGUUUAGAGGAGAGAAAUGGCCAGGAAGGCUCUUCAUGGAGGUGAGAUCUGAAGGAGAAGACAACAUAUGUGGCUCAGAGUCUAGUAAGAAUGAACCAAGAAGGCUGGUCAAAGGAAAGCCCGAAGGUUCUCAGGCUGGAGAAUAUAGAAAACAGCUGGCCAUGAGGGGGUAAAAGCUGAACCUGUUCUCUAAAGAAGAUGGAGCUUCUAGAGAUCAGAACCCAAUCUAGUGAGCUACCUGU